rnacentral:tRNA from 1 species
GUCUCCGUAGCUCAGCCGGAUAGAGCACCAGAUUCCUAAUUUGGGGGCCGUGGGUUCGAAUCCCGCCGGGGACA